CUGGCUGGUACUUUUCCACUCUCCAAGCGAUGAUGCAUCUCGCACACUAUUCCUGGCCUUUAAAAAUAUCCUAGAAAUGCGUUUGUAUUUGUGUGGAUUAUCCGGUAGAUGGUGAAGGAUUCUGGAGCCAUUGUCUGACUGGGAGCUAUGCCGUGGUUGUGAUCCGAGACACCAGCAGGCGCCUGUCAAGAGCACUGCGCCCGAACCCGAGAGUCCCAGAAGUGCGCCCGACGGAGGGUUAAUAGAGAAAAAACAAACCAGAAGGGAAGUAUGAUGCUUUCUGUGAACCAGUGCAAGAUGUGCACUUACCUCUGGUAUGUGUAAAGAGAUAUCUUGGUCAUUUUUCUCAAAAAUUAAUUUUAAGAACUUUA